rnacentral:tRNA from 1 species
ACCUGGGUGGCUCAGUCGGUUGAGCACCUGACUUCAACUCAGGUCAUGAUCUCAUGGCGCAUGGGUUCGGGCCCCGUGUG